AUGAACGCUGGCGGCGUGCCUAAUACAUGCAAGUCGAGCGAACAGACGAGGAGCUUGCUCCUCUGACGUUAGCGGCGGACGGGUGAGUAACACGUGGAUAACCUACCUAUAAGACUGGGAUAACUUCGGGAAACCGGAGCUAAUACCGGAUAAUAUAUUGAACCGCAUGGUUCAAUAGUGAAGGACGGUUUUGCUGUCACUUAUAGAUGGAUCCGCGCCGCAUUAGCUAGUUGGUAAGGUAACGGCUUACCAAGGCAACGAUGCGUAGCCGACCUGAGAGGGUGAUCGGCCACACUGGAACUGAGACACGGUCCAGACUCCUACGGGAGGCAGCAGUGGGGAAUCUUCCGCAAUGGGCGAAAGCCUGACGGAGCAACGCCGCGUGAGUGAUGAAGGUCUUCGGAUCGUAAAACUCUGUUAUUAGGGAAGAACAAAUGUGUAAGUAACUAUGCACGUCUUGACGGUACCUAAUCAGAAAGCCACGGCUAACUACGUG
rnacentral:rRNA from 1 species